UCGGGAAUGGCUGUGCAUGAUGAUUGCAAGUUGAAGUUCUUGGAGCUCAAGGCAAAAAGAACCCACCGCUUCAUUGUUUUCAAAAUUGAGGAGAAGCAAAAGCAAGUUAUUGUGGAGAAGCUUGGUGAACCAACCGAAAGCUAUGAGGAUUUUACUAAAUGUCUCCCCGCUGAUGAAUGUCGAUAUGCUGUGUACGAUUUUGAUUUUCUAACGGCCGAGAACGUACCGAAGAGCAGAAUCUUUUUCAUAGCAUGGUACUGCAAAGUUUCUUAAUCGUGGUGUUCCAUUGUUUCCUUUUAUUACUUACUAUAUGUUGUUGUCGUCCUUUGAAGGUCUCCCGACACGUCAAGGAUCAGGAGCAAGAUGAUUUACGCCAGCUCCAAAGAUAGAUUCAAGCGAGAACUGGAUGGAAUUCAGGUGGAAUUGCAAGCAACAGAUCCAACUGAGAUGGGUCUUGAUGUGUUCAAAAGCCGUGCUAACUGAAUACGGUUCUUUUAGGCAUUUGCAACCGGGAAGCUUCCUUCCUUCCUACAGUAUGUCUUUACUUAAGUGAAAUGUUUAUAGGUUUCGAAACGGCAAACUCGGGAUUUCCAGAGUUAUGCCAUAAGACUUUUAUCAGUCUUGAUGAUGAUAAACCCGUAGUUUCGGGUAUAUGUGAUUUGUUAUCUAUAGAACCUAUGUAUUGAGUGCCUUUGUGUAGUCUUAAUCUCUUUCAACGCUAAAUGCAACUGUUUGUGAGGGUUAGACAACACAUUUAGUUCGUUUUCAAGUUUUUUUUUUCUUUAAUUUUCUUUGAAUAUUGACCCUUGUUUAUUUGUUUCAGUGUGUUAAAAAGGGCAUGCUUUUAUGUCUUUCGAGUCACUGAUUCUUUUUGCCAUUAUUUAUGACACUGGAUUCGAUUGCAAAUUUAUUUGUACAAUAUCUUUUGCUGGUUGAUAUUUUUUUGCUUGAUUCAGACUUGUUUAUGUUUUGUUUUGUUCAUUUAGCUUCAAAAAGUUAAAAUAUAUCAUUAAAUUAUUUAAAAAUUUUUAUUUAAGUUAUAAAAUUAUCAUCAGAUUAUUCAAAGAGUUGUUUUUAUUUUCAUUGUUAGUACCAAGUGAAAAUGAACUCUUUUUUGUUUUUUGUUUUAGUUUAAUUUAUUUUAUAAAAUAUUUUUGGAUGUAACGAAUUUAUAAAUUAAAAUUUAACAGAUUUAUAAAAUAUUUUGUAAUGAAUUUGUGAAUCAAAUUUUAAAUUAAUUUGAAAAAAAAAAUUGUAUAUCCUAAUGUGUUAAAUAAAUUAUUUUGAAUAAUUUAAUAAUUAUAAUGAAUUUUUUUUAAUCUAAGUAUUGGAUUUGGAUGCCAACUUUGAAUGUUAAUAAUGAUGCUUUGUCAUGUUCUUAACUAAUGGGCUUCGCUUGCUUUCCCGGCUAGGCUCAUCACAAUAUAACAUUCCGUUGUCAUGUCAAAAUGUUUAACUGUAAUUAGAAAUCAUUAAUAUCAUAUUAAAUAGGAUAUUAAAAUUUUAAAAAUGAUUAAAUUAUUUAUGAGUUGAUAUCGAGUUAAUUUGUAACAUCAAUUUAAUGUAAAAAUUAAUUAAAUUAUUUAUGAAUUUUGCAAUUAAGUCUACUUUAAUACUUAAGCUUGAAAAUUAAGUCUAUUUUAAUUCAUAAAUUUUUAGAAAAUAUAAAAGUUCGAUGAUCUGUACUUUGAUAAUAUGUCACUUCAUUAGAUCUAACUUAAAAAGUGAUAAUGUAAUACAAUACUAAAUUACCAUACCAAAUCAUCGAACAUUGACAUUUUCUGAAAAUUUUGGUCCGAAAUGAAUUUAUUUACCAAAGUUCAUGGGUCAAAACUAUAUUAACCCUUUAAAAAAGUUAAAAUUAGAUUAAAAAACUAGAAUUUGUAAAAUUCAGCCGAGUCAAACGAAGCCGCCAACGAGUGAAGUUAUCUAUUAGCCGAGUCCAUAAAAUACAGCGCGGCUUAAUCAUGACCACGACACCAAAAGCUGUGCCCUCUAGAACAGAACACGACGUGGCAACACAAUAUUAGGUGAAGAAAUGUUUCGUACGAUAACCUAAUGUACAAAUACAAACACCCUAUCAAUUCUCAACUCAACUGGGGCAAGUUUUCACCGAAAUAAAAGGACCUUUGUCCCUCCCCACCGUUUUCAACCCUCGUCAUCGGAAGAGCUUUCCUUUUUUUCUCUCUAUAUUUUCUCAUCUCCUUUUCCACCGCCGUCGAUCUCGAUCCUUAUCCCCGUUUUCAAAAAAGCUCCAAAAAGAUGGUAAUGUUUCAGCUGCCUUUUUUUUAAAAAAAAGUUUAAAAUUAAUAGUUUAUCCUUGAAUUAGAUUGUAUUUCUGAUAUUUUUGUGUAAUUUCUUAGCAAUCCGACUGGAUCGUCUUUUUAUUUUUGUUGAUUUUUAAGUUUUAAAUUAAUAGUUUAAGCUUGAAUUUAAUCCUAUUUCUGAUUUUUAGUGUAAUUUCUUAGCAAUCCGAUUGGAUCUUUUUUUUUCGUUUAUUCUUGAAUUUAGUCGAUUUUCUGAUAUUUUUGAGUGAUUUCUUAGUAAUCCGACUGGAUCCUUACUUUUAAGUUUAAAAUUAAUAGUUUAUCCUUUAAUUGAAUCGUAGUUCUGGUAUUUUUGUCUAAUUUCUUAGCAAUUCGACUGGAUCGUCUCUUUUCUUGUUGAUUUUUUUUUGUCGUUUUAAAUUAAUAGUGUAUCCUAGAAUUAAAUCAUAUAUCUCUGGUUUUUUGUGUAACUUCUUAGCAAUUCGACCGGAUCGGCUCUUUUCCUGUUGAUUUUUUUUGUAGUUUUAAAUUAAUAGUUUAUCCUAGAAUUAAAUCAUAUCUCUGGUAUCUUUGUGUAAAUUCUUAGUAAUCCAACUAGAUCCUCUUCUUUUUUUUGUUGAUUUUUCUUUUUUAAUUUUGUGUUUGAUCGUUUAAUUGAUCUCUGCAUCGAUGCUUGAAAAUCCCCGGAAAUUUUUCAGUGUCUGGAUCUUAGGAUUUUAAAUGUGUAGUUAAUGAUUUGAUUUUAUUUCUAUGAAAUUAUAUGUACUAAUUUGUGCUGAAAAUGGAAUCAUUACUGUUCUAGCCUCUAGUCUAUUUAGCUGCUUGAUUCUACUGAAUUUGCUGUUAAUCUAAAUACGUAUCGGUUUCUAUUUUAUGAAUACUCUAUUUUUAGCUGUUUUUCUUUGACACUGACUUUUUUUUUUUUAACUUGUUUAAUAUAUUAAUCUCAAUCUGUCUGCGCUUGUACUUUGGAUCCUUGUAUUUUUGUUGUUAUUAUUAUUUUCUUAUUUUUACUGAAGCCAAAGAAAAUCUUAUUUUAUAUAUCCAAACAUAAUAUAAUGAUUUUAUGAUCGUAAGCAAUAAACACACCCCAUUGUGAAGCUCAACUAGCUGAUUUAGGAUGUUCUAAAGGCAAUGUAAGAUGAGCUCUGCUUCAUCCUAAAGAUGCUGACACAUGAUGUUAUACCAGCAUAGGGGGCCAUUGAAAGAGAUCAAGUUAGAAUCUAGUUUAAAGGGUAUUUAAGUGCGGCUUUUGUUUUCUUUAUUUAUUGUUCAUUUUGUUAGGAUCAAAUCAUGGAGAUAUAGAGUAUUGGAAUAGUUGAUUUUUUUUCUUCAUUUAUUGUUCCUUUGUGUGCUAUUGAUGUUAUUAAACAUUGGGACUGCUUUUGAUAUUUGUUUUCUCAUGUGGUAUUAUUUUAUAUCCCAGGCCAAUGCUGCAUCGGGAAUGGCUGUGCAUGAUGAUUGCAAGUUGAAGUUCUUGGAACUUAAGGCAAAAAGAACCCACCGCUUUAUUGUUUUCAAAAUCGAGGAGAAGCAGAAGCAAGUUAUUGUGGAGAAGCUUGGUGAGCCAACCGAGAGCUAUGAGGAUUUUACUAAAUGUCUUCCCGCUGAUGAAUGUCGUUAUGCUGUGUACGAUUUUGAUUUUCUAACGGCCGAGAACGUCCCAAAGAGCAGAAUCUU
rnacentral:lncRNA from 1 species